rnacentral:rRNA from 1 species
UACGUAGGGUGCGAGCGUUGUCCGGAAUUAUUGGGCGUAAAGAGCUCGUAGGCGGUGUGUCACGUCGGCCGUGAAAACCUGCAGCUUAACUGUGGGCGUGCGGUCGAUACGGGCAUUACUGGAGUUCGGCAGGGGAGACUGGAAUUCCUGGUGUAGCGGUGAAAUGCGCAGAUAUCAGGAGGAACACCGGUGGCGAAGGCGGGUCUCUGGGCCGAUACUGACGCUGAGGCGCGAAAGCUAGGGGAGCAAACAGG